CCAAUAGCGUAUAUUAAAGUUGUUGCAGUUAAAAAGCUCGUAGUUGAAUUUCGGGGUCAGUAGGUUGGUUAUGCCACUGGUAUGUACUGGUCUCACUGAUUCCUCCUUCCUGAUGAGCCGUAAUGCCAUUAAUUUGGUGUUGCGAGGAAUCUGGACUGUUACUUUGAAAAAAUUAGGGUGUUUAAAGCAGGCUAACGCUUGAAUACAUUAGCAUGGAAUAAUGAAAUAGGACGUUGGAUCUUAUUUUGUUGGUUUCUAAGAUUGACGUAAUGAUUAAUAGGGAUAGUUGGGGGCAUUAGUAUUCAAUUGUCAGAGGUGAAAUUCUUGGAUUUAUUGAAGACUAACUACUGCGAAAGCAUUUGCCAAGGAUGUUUUCAUUAAUCAAGAACGAAAGUUAGGGGAUCGAAGACGAUCAGAUACCGUCGUAGUCUUAACCAUAAACUAUGCCGACUAGGGAUCGGAUGAUGUUAAUUUUUUAAUGACUCAUUCGGCGCCUUACG
rnacentral:rRNA from 1 species